UCUGUUUGGGUGGGGGCUUGGUUGUGCUCAGCUUAGUCUGAGUUGCAGGGGGAUUUGAGCUGGUGAGCUGCAUUGUUGUUGUUUGGCUUCGUGUUUGUGGCCGUGCGAGCUCUUCAUGAAAUGAUCUUUUCUCUAGAAAUCUGACUUUCUACCAGAAGGAAAAAAUGGCCUUUAGAGCUACUGUUUCGGGUUUUUUUUAAUUUCCCUUUUGCAACAGCAGUGAGGAAGGCAGACAACAAUCUCAGGAUGACAAAUUUAUCACAUUUUGAAGUUGAGAAGUCAAAGAAAAGAUGUCAUACAUUGCGUGAAAAACAUUUUUUUCAAGAAUAUGUUAUUAGGGCAAUCUUUUCCUGAAAAGUAGAAUUAAGUACGUGUUUAGAAUAUGUGCCUCAAAAUAAAUGACAAUAAACUGA